rnacentral:lncRNA from 1 species
GAAUUUGCAGAUCAAGGCAAAUCAAAUUCAAUCAACUUCAAGUUCAUCAUCAAUAAUCAUCAACUCAUUGCAAAUCAUGCGAGAUCAACAUCAUAGGAAAGAUUAAAACAAGCCCACUUCUUAAGAGAAGUUGAUUCCAAUUGCCGUCAAAUUAAUAGUCGAAAAAAUGAUCAUCAUGAGGACAUACAAAUCAGCCACAAAUGAAUUAGAACAUAAUGCAUAACUAAUGGUAAAGAGUAGUUCUAAAAAUGAAUCACAGCAAACCUUACAACCUUAAAAAGAGUCGACAAAAGUAACAAACCAUGUUUCUAUUUGUACAAAUUUCUGCUUAUAUCCGCCAACUUCA